rnacentral:rRNA from 1 species
GAUGAACGCUGGCGGCGUGCUUAACACAUGCAAGUCGAACGAGAAAUGAUAUUACGAUCUCUUCGGAGUGACGAUUUUAUUUCGAGUGGCGGACGGGUGAGUAACGCGUGAGCAACCUGCCCUAUACCGGGGGAUACCAGUUGGAAACGACUGUUAAUACCGCAUAAGCGCACGAUAAGACAUCUUGUUGUGUGAAAAACUCCGGUGGUAUAGGAUGGGCUCGCGUAUGAUUAGCCAGUUGGCGGGGUAAAGGCCCACCAAAGCGACGAUCAUUAGCCGACCUGAGAGGGCGACCGGCCACAUUGGGACUGAGACACGGCCCAAACUCCUACGGGAGGCAGCAGUGGGGAAUAUUGCACAAUGGGCGAAAGCCUGAUGCAGCGACGCCGCGUGAGUGAGGAAGUAUUUCGGUAUGUAAAGCUCUAUCAGCAGGGAAGAAAGAAAUGAC